GUCGAUACGAGCAAACUAGAGUGUUGCAGGGGAGACUGGAAUUCCUGGUGUAGCGGUGAAAUGCGCAGAUAUCAGGAGGAACACCGGUGGCGAAGGCGGGUCUCUGGGCAACAACUGACGCUGAGGAGCGAAAGCGUGGGGAGCGAACAGGAUUAGAUACCCUGGUAGUCCACGCCGUAAACGUUGGGCGCUAGGUGUGGGGCUCAUUCCACGAGUUCCGUGCCGCAGCUAACGCAUUAAGCGCCCCGCCUGGGGAGUACGGCCGCAAGGCUAAAACUCAAAGGAAUUGACGGGGGCCCGCACAAGCGGCGGAGCAUGUUGCUUAAUUCGAUGCAACGCGAAGAACCUUACCUAGGCUUGACAUGCACGGAAAUCCUCCAGAGAUGGUGGGUCCGUAAGGGUCGUGCACAGGUGGUGCAUGGUUGGGUCCGUAAGGGUCGUGCACAGGUGGUGCAUGGUUGUCGUCAGCUCGUGUCGUGAGAUGUUGGGUUAAGUCCCGCAACGAGCGCAACCCUCGUUCUAUGUUGCCAGCACGUCAUGGUGGGGACUCAUAGGAGACUGCUGGGGUCAACUCGGAGGAAGGUGGGGAUGACGUCAAAUCAUCAUGCCCCUUAUGUCUAGGGCUGCAAACAUGCUACAAUGGCCGGUACAAGGGCUGCGAUACCGCGAGGUGGAGCGAAUCCCAAAAAGCCGGUCUCAGUUCGGAUUGGGGUCUGCAACUCGACCCCUGAAGU
rnacentral:rRNA from 1 species